rnacentral:rRNA from 1 species
AGAGUUUGAUCCUGGCUCAGAAUGAGCGUUGGCGGCGUGGAUUAGGCAUGCAAGUCGUACGGGUCGGUGUAGCAAUACAACGGCAAGUGGCGAAAGGGAGAGUAACACGUAGAUACCUACCCUCUGGUCGGGGAUACCGCGGCAUAACCGCAAGUAAUACCCGAUAAAAUCUCCGGAUCAAAGGUGUGAUUCCGCCGGAGGAGGGGUCUGCGUUCUAUCAGCUUGUUGGUGAGGUAAUGGCUCACCAAGGCUAAGACGGAUACGGGGUGUGAGAGCAUGCCCCCGCUCACUGGGACUGAGACACUGCCCAGACACCUACGGGUGGCUGCAGUCGAGAAUCUUCGGCAAUGGGCGCAAGCCUGACCGAGCGACGCCGCGUGCGGGAUGAAGGCCUUCGGGUUGUAAACCGCUGUCGAGGGGAAUGAAGUGCAAGUGAGUUAUCUCAUUUGUUGACAGUCCCUGAGAAG